rnacentral:rRNA from 1 species
CACAAAUACCUAAAUUUGCUUGAUUUGCCCAAUGCUUAAUUUGUUAAUGGCCGCGAAAGUGCUAAGGUAGCAAAAUCAAUAGCCUAUUAAUUGUAGCCUAGAAUGAAAAAUUAAACUUUCCAGAGAGUAACUUUUUCAAGAAAAAAAUUAAUUUUUAGGUGAAAAAGCCUAAAUACAUCUUUUAGACGAGAAGACCCUAAAACUUUAGAAUAUUUAAUUGGGAUAAUUUUUUAAUUUAAUAAAAAACUAAAACCACUUUAGGAAAGACCCUAGAAAGCUAAAUAAAAGUACUUUAGGGAUAACAGCACUACUUAUGCC